rnacentral:rRNA from 1 species
CUAGUUGGUAAGGUAACGGCUUACCAAGGCAACGAUGCAUAGCCGACCUGAGAGGGUGAUCGGCCACACUGGAACUGAGACACGGUCCAGACUCCUACGGGAGGCAGCAGUAGGGAAUCUUCCGCAAUGGGCGAAAGCCUGACGGAGCAACGCCGCGUGAGUGAUGAAGGUCUUCGGAUCGUAAAACUCUGUUAUUAGGGAAGAACAUAUGUGUAAGUAACUGUGCACAUCUUGACGGUACCUAAUCAGAAAGCCACGGCUAACUACGUGCCAGCAGCCGCGGUAAUACGUAGGUGGCAAGCGUUAUCCGGAAUUAUUGGGCGUAAAGCGCGCGUAGGCGGUUUUUUAAGUCUGAUGUGAAAGCCCACGGCUCAACCGUGGAGGGUCAUUGGAAACUGGAAAACUUGAGUGCAGAAGAGGAAAGUGGAAUUCCAUGUGUAGCGGUGAAAUGCGCAGAGAUAUGGAGGAACACCAGUGGCGAAGGCGACUUUCUGGUCUGUAACUGACGCUGAUGUGCGAAAGCGUGGGGAUCAAACAGGAUUAGAUACCCUGGUAGUCCACGCCGUAAACGAUGAGUGCUAAGUGUUAGGGGGUUUCCGCCCCUUAGUGCUGCAGCUAACGCAUUAAGCACUCCGCCUGGGGAGUACGACCGCAAGGUUGAAACUCAAAGGAAUUGACGGGGACCCGCACAAGCGGUGGAGCAUGUGGUUUAAUUCGAAGCAACGCGAAGAACCUUACCAAAUCUUGACAUCCUUUGACAACUCUAGAGAUAGAGCCUUCCCCUUCGGGGGACAAAGUGACAGGUGGUGCAUGGUUGUCGUCAGCUCGUGUCGUGAGAUGUUGGGUUAAGUCCCGCAACGAGCGCAACCCUUAAGCUUAGUUGCCAUCAUUACGUUGGGCACUCUAAGUUGACUGCCGGUGACAAACCGGAGGAAGGUGGGGAUGACGUCAAAUCAUCAUGCCCCUUAUGAUUUGGGCUACACACGUGCUACAAUGGACAAUACAAAGGGCAGCGAAACCGCGAGGUCAAGCAAAUCCCAUAAAGUUGUUCUCAGUUCGGAUUGUAGUCUGCAACUCGACUACAUGAAGCUGGAAUCGCUAGUAAUCGUAGAUCAGCAUGCUACGGUGAAUACGUUCCCGGGUCUUGUACACACCGCCCGUCACACCACGAGAGUUUGUAACACCCGAAGCCGGUGGAGUAACCUUUUAGGAGCUAGCCGUCGAAGGUGGGACAAAUGAUUGGGGUGAAGUCGUAACAAGGUAGCCGUAUCGGAAGGUGCGGCUGGAUCACCUCCUUU